rnacentral:rRNA from 1 species
GAUGAACGCUGGCGGCGUGCCUAAUACAUGCAAGUCGAGCGAACAGACGAGGAGCUUGCUCCUCUGACGUUAGCGGCGGACGGGUGAGUAACACGUGGAUAACCUACCUAUAAGACUGGGAUAACUUCGGGAAACCGGAGCUAAUACCGGAUAAUAUGUUGAACCGCAUGGUUCAACAGUGAAAGACGGUCUUGCUGUCACUUAUAGAUGGAUCCGCGCCGCAUUAGCUAGUUGGUAAGGUAACGGCUUACCAAGGCAACGAUGCGUAGCCGACCUGAGAGGGUGAUCGGCCACACUGGAACUGAGACACGGUCCAGACUCCUACGGGAGGCAGCAGUAGGGAAUCUUCCGCAAAGGGCGAAAGCCUGACGGAGCAACGCCGCGUGAGUGAAGAAGGUCUUCGGAUCGUAAAACUCUGUUAUUAGGGAAGAACAAAUGUGUAAGUAACUAUGCACGUCUUGACGGUACCUAAUCAGAAAGCCACGGCUAACUACGUG